UUCAUUCUUUAUUAUUGUAGGGAGCCAUCACAAAAAGAAUGACAGCAAUCGAAGAAAUGGCAGGCAUGGCUGUACUUUGCAGUGACAAAACAGGAACUCUAACAUUGAACUGACUGACUGUUGACAAAAGUAUUAUUGAGGUCUUUGCUAGAGGAGUAGAUGGAGAGGCUGUAGUUUUGAUGGCUGCUAGAGCCUCAAGAGUGGAAAACCAAGAUGCAAUAGACGCUGCUAUUGUCGGGACGUUGGCUGAUCCAAAAGAGGCACAGGCUGGCAUUCAAGAGGUUCACUUCCUUCCAUUUAACCCCACUGAUAAGCGAAUAGCUCUGA